rnacentral:rRNA from 1 species
AUGUUCUAUCGUAUAGGUAUCUUACCCCCACAUAUUAGUGAUACAAAUAUUGUUCUCAUUCCUAAAAGGCUGGUUCCUCAAGUUCCUACUGACUAUAGACCCAUUAGCCUUUGUAAUGUCAUCUAUGAAAUUAUUGCUAAAUCUUUGGCUAAUAGGCUCAAACCUCACUUGCCUGAUUAUAUUGAUCCCUCUCAGCAAGCUUUUAUCGAAGGGCGUAGAAUUAGUGAUAACAUUAUAAUUGUG